CUUUUCUUAGUUCCAGCUGCAAUCGAUGGAUACAUAACGGCAUUGGAAUCACUACUGUGAGCAAGCCCAAGUAGAUGUCCUAUUUCAUGAACAGCCACGGAUUCCAAGUCAAUUUGGUCCAUUGCGGGGUUAGUACUCCACUUCUCGUCAGCAUCAUAAUGGAAACGGCCAUUUUCUGGACUAAAAGCAUGGGCUAGUAUUUUCCCAGGUCCAUCAAAAGGAUAACCAUCCCCAUGAUCACCGCUGUAGAAUGCAAUAACAAUAUUUGCUGAUGCACCAUCAGAGGCCUCCUGGAAAGUUAAUGGAGAAACAUCUGACCACUUUUUGAAAGCAUCUGAGCAGACAGACCUCAAGGUGUCCAUAUCAACAACUUGGACACCAUCCGAGCCAAAUGUGUAGGUCAGAUGAUACUUGGAAGGUCGCCAUUUUGGCAUCCCAUUGAAGAACGUAUAAUGCAUCACCAUGUGGAACUUGGUGUAAUUUGAUUUAGUGUUGUUGGGUGUGAUAUCAUGCAUUCCACAUCGUGGAAUCAUCAUUUGUUUGAUGGUACUAUCGUCGAGGAUACCAGUAACAUUCAGAUGAAAAUAGUUCUGGUAUGUUUUGAGUGCAGACUCCAAGAGAUCAUCAAAAUCGCUGGUCAUGAGAUUGACAUCACUUGGAUAGUAUCCAAACCUUUUGAGGUAUUGUUUGAGCUCAACAAGUCCUUCCACAGUUUGGCCCUUUCGAACUCCCUCCAGCUUUUGAAGGGAGCUAAAAGAAUAUUGCUGAUGCUCGGAUUUCAAAAUCCUCGCCAGACCUAUGAAGGACUGGAUAGAAAAGAAGGUGAGGAUAGCUAACAAAAGA
rnacentral:lncRNA from 1 species